GCGAAUGGAUUGAGAGCUUGCUCUCAAGAAGUUAGCGGCGGACGGGUGAGUAACACGUGGGUAACCUGCCCAUAAGACUGGGAUAACUCCGGGAAACCGGGGCUAAUACCGGAUAACAUUUUGAACUGCAUGGUUCGAAAUUGAAAGGCGGCUUCGGCUGUCACUUAUGGAUGGACCCGCGUCGCAUUAGCUAGUUGGUGAGGUAACGGCUCACCAAGGCAACGAUGCGUAGCCGACCUGAGAGGGUGAUCGGCCACACUGGGACUGAGACACGGCCCAGACUCCUACGGGAGGCAGCAGUAGGGAAUCUUCCGCAAUGGACGAAAGUCUGACGGAGCAACGCCGCGUGAGUGAUGAAGGCUUUCGGGUCGUAAAACUCUGUUGUUAGGGAAGAACAAGUGCUAGUUGAAUAAGCUGGCACCUUGACGGUACCUAACCAGAAAGCCACGGCUAACUACGUGCCAGCAGCCGCGGUAAUACGUAGGUGGCAAGCGUUAUCCGGAAUUAUUGGGCGUAAAGCGCGCGCAGGUGGUUUCUUAAGUCUGAUGUGAAAGCCCACGGCUCAACCGUGGAGGGUCAUUGGAAACUGGGAGACUUGAGUGCAGAAGAGGAAAAUGGAAUUCCAUGUGUAGCGGUGAAAUGCGUAGAGAUAUUCAGGAACACCACUGGCG
rnacentral:rRNA from 1 species